CCGGAAACUGUAAUCAUCCUGUAAUCAUGUUGUACAUCAUUAGACAAUUCCGCUUUCUUGUAUAGCCAUGUUAAUCAAAUAAAUUCAAACUAGCCCCAAAAUGACAUUAUCCCUUGACAGAUAUGAAACAAACAUGCUUAGCGUGAGCUUAAACUUUUAUUAUAAUAAUUCCAUGGCUCACUUGUCAAAACAAAGAUUCAACAACAUGCAAGCUAUAUGAUUGAACUUCAACUCAACUUAAACCAUCCCCAUGCUUUUACAUUCCCAGAAUUAAAUUAACGAGCACACACAAAGAUUUUUGCAAGACAUUAACAACAUAAGAGAGGGGAGGAAGGGCUGCCCUACUAGACAGAAUAUAAGAUUGUAUUCAGGACAUUACAGAAAUGAAUGAAAUAGAAGAGUAAGCUCAAAAGACAACUUGUAUCCAUGGUACUCCACACUCAAACACAAGUUUGCAUUGCACAUGUUGUAUAUAGUUCCAAGAGGUACCUGGAUUUUAAAACAAAAAAGAAAUUGAUGGUUCAGCAGCAGAACAACAACAACAACAAUGGUGUUAGCCCAGAAAUAACCAAAGAAAACCAGCUUUGAGCCAAGUUUGAACCAGCAGAUAAGAUUCAAUAAUCCAAACACUAACUUCAGUCACUCGAUGGACCAGCAGACCUCAAGACAACUCGACCUUAACCCAUAUUAGAACCUGCUAACCAGAAAAUUGACUUAACACCAAGAAAACCUCAAAAAUCACCAAAGAAAUCAAUGACAUAGUGUUAUUCUAAGAUUUUCAGCACUUUUCCCUCUCCUCUUGGAAUUUUUAGCUAUUGAAGUCUAUGAAAUAGUAAAAUUAUUCAGCUUCUAUAUCUUCUAGAUUUCCAGCUCUCAAAAACUCUCUUGGGUCUGCCUUGAAAGGCAAGAAAUGAUGCCUUUAUAGGCAAGUUACUAAGGCAGCCUUGCAGAUUUGUUUUUACCUUUUUAGUCCCUUUUUAAAUCUUUUUUAGCUUAAAAGUCCCUCACUUAUUGGCUUGUUACUCGAGUUAUAUUAUUAAAAGUCUGAAAUUCACAGAGAAACCCUCACUAGAAACUUCCAAAUGAGUUACACUAAAGAUUUCUUAUGCCAAUUCCCUAGACUACCCCCCACCUAGACUUCCCAAGUUGCCCCUGAACCCCUGUUAAUAUACUAGACAGAUCGAAUGGGCCAUAGGUCAAUUUGACCCAGUUGUUCAGCCCCAAAUAAACCGGAAUAGACCCAAACCUAACCCUCAAGAUCAAAAAUCUAUUCGGCCCAACUAGCAAUUAUCUAAUUAACAAGUUGAAAACACCAAAUAACACAGGACAAUUAAAGUUUUAGCCUAAAUGAUUUACUAACUAAACUUAACCAAACUAACAAUUUUAAAACUAAUCUAAUUACAGCCUAACUAUACUAAUUAAAAACAAGAGUCCAAUUACUCAUGCAUGAAUAAAUAAACUCCAAAACAAAUGAAGAAUGAUUCAAGAAGAGGAGAAGAAACAGAAAACCGAAAAAUAAAUAGAGAACAGAUUAAACCAGGAGAAGAAAAGAAGAAUACCUAAGAAGAGUUCAAAAAAUGAAAGAAGGGCCUGGGUCUUCAGAUCCUCGGAUUUUCUGGACAAAUCUGAUGUUAAUCAUGCGUUCUUACGAAGAACACACGAAUAAAAUCGGAUUCAACACGAAAUUUCGCCAAAACUUGACUUGGGGAUUUCUGGGGUUCAUUUCUGAUCUACGAUUUGAGGAGCUAUGGCAAUAUUCGAGGGAAACCAAUCAGAGAUUUGGAAUGAGGGGGGUUUAGUGGUCAUGGGCUGUUAUUUUGGUGGUGAACGGAUGCGGCGGCAAGUGUGGUGGAAAAGGGGGCGGCGGGUUAGGGUUUGGGAGUGUUUCUGAGGAGAGAAUAGGGGGUGAAGGAGACAAA
rnacentral:lncRNA from 1 species